UACGUAGGUGGCAAGCGUUGUCCGGAUUUAUUGGGUUUAAAGGGUGCGUAGGCGGCUUAUUAAGUCAGUGGUGAAAUACUCUAGCUCAACUAGAGGGGUGCCAUUGAUACUGAUGAGCUUGAGUACAGAUGAGGUAGGCGGAAUUGACGGUGUAGCGGUGAAAUGCUUAGAUAUCGUCAAGAACACCGAUAGUGAAGACAGCUCACUAAGCUCAAACUGACGCUGAGGCACGAAAGUGUGGGGAUCAAACAGG
rnacentral:rRNA from 1 species